CCUCUCUCUUCCCUAACCCUAAAAUCCUAGCAGCCAUUCCAGAAAGCGUCGCUACCUCUAUCUACUCCACUGUUCGUCGCGCACCAGCCGCCUCCUGCUCCUUAGGUGGGGACAUACUAGAGGAUCUCGUGAUGUUCGUGUUCAGCUGCCUAGCACCGCCGGAGAUAAGGAAAUUGGUGUGCCUCAACAGCGCAUUUUGCGGCGCCGCUUCAUCUGAUGAGGUUCGGGAAUCCAAGCUUCCGUGUCAUUACCACCAGCUGCGCGAUUUCCUCUCGCAAUCCGAUGUCUAUCAACGCUUGUGCAAGAAGGAUAUCUCCGCAUUCCUUUCCCGCCCCCUUCCGAUUUGAUGACGGAAAACAAGGACUAUAAUUUCCGAGCAUCUCAGUUAGUUUCCUGGCAAAGAUAAAGAAAUGAUGUUAUGUCUGGUCUAUUCCAAAUUGAAUCGUCAUGUGUUGGGUUUUACUUCUCUGUUACAUUUACUGAUAUCCCGAACUCUGAUCUCUGUCAUUUCCCCUUCUUCCUUCUUUCAGUUAAUCAAUUAUGUAAUUUACACUGUAAAAUUGCUCAUCAAACUUAUGUGAACCCACUUCAAUUGUAGCACUGUUUGGAGAAAUACAAAAAACUCUGGCUACCUCAUUCUGCAAUGUCGUGCAGUUUCCAGAGGUCCUGCUGAAGAAAAUGGCCAUCGAAUAUUACUGCAGAAGGUGACACACAAAAGAAUAAGUAUAAAGUGUUAUUGCAUGCUUGCAUUUCAUGUUCGUUGAAGCCAGAUAGUGAGUAGAUUGUAGUUUAUGAUCUUGAAGACGACACAAAAAAUUCAAAACCUGAAGCUCAUGCAACAGCUUGGGAAAAGCUGAAGACAGUUCCUUAGGCUCCUGGAGGUUCUAAAGUUUUCCGAAACCCAGCAUCACCUUCUACAGUGACACACUUUCCCUGGUCAAGGUUUUCGUUACAUCCGCCGCAGUCCCGGACACACCCCUUACUUUUCCGACAAUUGCUGGGGCAACUACCUUUCGCGAGGUGGUCGGUGAAGAUCCUAUUAAGUGGAACUAUAUGGAUCUCAUGCGCCACCCCUGAAGCAUAUCGACUGGUUCAUUUAUGUUUUGCCUCUGUUUGCAUUAUCAAUUGCAUGUCGUGGAUGUGCUUGGAUGGUAGAUUCUAAUGGCUAUGUGAAAUACCUAUGGAAUAGAUGCAUAGACAUUUGGAUGUAUCUUUUGUGUGGUAAGAAUUGUUGCUAUGGAUUAAUGGAUCUCCCCACUUGCUUAUUACUAGGUUGGAUGUUUGAAAUGCUUGUGUUUGACGGAACAUAAUG